rnacentral:miRNA from 1 species
AAGUUGAGAAAUGACCAAGAAAAGAAUUUAAAAAUUCUUUUCUUGGUCAUUUCUCAACUC